CAAUGGCGUAUAUUAAAGUUGUUGCGGUUAAAAAGCUCGUAGUUGGACCUCGGCAGGCAGGGGGUGGUUCGCUCUUAGCGCUACUGCCCCAUUUGCCUGUGUGAUUGGCGGAGGUUUCGGGGUGCUCUUCGUUGAGUGACCCGGGGCGCCGUCAGGUUUACUUUGAAAAAAUUAGAGUGCUCAAAGCAGGCUUUUCACGCUUGAAUAUUCGUGCAUGGAAUAAUGGAAUAGGAACUCGUUUCUAUUUUGUUGGUUUUCGGAAAUCGAGUUAAUGAUUAAUAGGGACAAUUGGGGGCAUUAGUAUUCAGACGACAGAGGUGAAAUUCUUGGACCGUCUGAAGACUAACUACUGCGAAAGCAUUUGCCAAGAGUGUUUUCAUUAA
rnacentral:rRNA from 1 species